rnacentral:rRNA from 1 species
UCGGGAAUUUUGGGCAAUGGGCGCAAGCCUGACCCAGCGACGCCGCGUGGGUGAUGAAGGCCUUCGGGUCGUAAAGCCCUGUCGGGUGGAAAGAACGGUAUGGGUGCAAAUAGCGCUCAUACGUGACGGUACCACCAAAGGAAGCACCGGCCAAUUCCGUGCCAGCAGCCGCGGUAAGACGGAAGGUGCAAGCGUUGCUCGGAAUUACUGGGCGUAAAGGGCGCGUAGGCGGCCAUCUAAGUCAGACGUGAAAUCCCCCGGCUCAACCUGGGAACUGCGUCUGAUACUGGGAGGCUAGAGUUUGGGAGAGGGAUGUAGAAUUCCAGGUGUAGCGGUGAAAUGCGUAGAUAUCUGGAGGAAUACCGGUGGCGAAGGCGGCAUCCUGGACCAAUACUGACGCUGAGGCGCGAAAGCCAGGGGAGCAAACGGGAUUAGAUACCCGAGUAGUCCCUGAGCGGGCUGGCAAGGCGCAU